CAGACCAUGUUCCGUUGGAGCCUAAGAUGCAUUUUGUGGAGACAAUGUCACCGAUCCUUGGAGAACCUUCACGCACCAUCACCAUCAGAGGCCCAGCGCCUUCCUUUCUUUUAGGUGGCACCCACUGCUCCGUGUGGCUCAGGCCCCAGCCACGCGCAUGCACGUUCUGGGUGUCACCGGGUCCAGGGCCCCUGGAGGGAUGGCAGCAGCGCCCUCGCUUCGCCCCGACCCAACUGUCACCCAGGCCUAGCAGUCUGCCGGGGGGCGCAGGCCGAGAAGAGGGUGCAGAGGCGCGAAAGGCCCAUGCGGGAACCCAGCUCGGGGCAGGUGUCGCCCCUCCCCCUGCCCUGCCCGGGCCCCGGGGUGCGAAGUGUCGCUCGCUAGAUGGCUGCGUCCGUUCGCCACAGGAAGGAGGGAAGGAGGCCGGAGGUGCCUUCACGACACGUCGCGGCCCUGACAGAUCUGAUAAAGAGGAAGGAAGCCGGCGGCGCUGCGGAUCUGAGCUGACAACUCCCCCAAACUGCCGCGGCCUGCAGCUGGCCUCCCGCCGUUUGCCGAAGUGGCGCCGGAGAGAGGGUCGCCUGCGCCCCCUGCCGGGCAUUUGUAGAAAGCCCAGGUGACAGCCAGAGCUUUGGGACCAGGGCCCACCUCUUGGGUGGGUGGGCACAGCUUGUCCCAGCCUGGGGCCUCUUCACUUGGGCUUGUCGCAAGAGAUGUGCCCCCCAGAGAAGAAACCCAGUGCUGAGUGUGCCCCAGCUGGGCCUCAGUUUACCUGAUAAUCGAAUUCGUUUAGUUGGCAACCUUAAUGAGAAAAGCACGCACGCUUCAGAGGUCACAGCACAACUUCAUACCGCUGCAGUCCAUCGCUGGGACAGCCAUUUCCUAGCUGACCUUAAACAAGUGUCUUACCCCGUGGGCUUCAGUUUCCUCAUGCCUAAAUGAGAAUGCUCUAUAUUAGGAUCCUGAAAGAACUCUAAUAAGGUCUCCUUCUGAAGAAACUGAUGUUAGCAAUUUAACUUCUCAUUUGCUUAGUGUGAGUAUAUGGCAAUGAUACUGACUUUUAAAUCUUUAAAUUCACUAUAUAUAUCUAGGUGUUUUGUCUGCCUGUGUCUGUGCAUCACGCGCAUGCCUGGUGCCCAAGGAGGCCAAGAGAGUGACAGAUCUCCUAGGACUGGAGAUACAGUUAUGAAACACCAUGUGGGUGCUGGGAGUUCAAAUCCAGGUCCUCUGGAGCAGCACUCUUAAUUGCUAAGCUACUCUCCAGCCCUGACUUUUGAAUAUAUUUAAUGUUGUAUGUAGAAUUCAGCUGCAUUCUGCUGAGAAUUUGCACACUGUUUUAGAUUACACAGACGCCAUCAUUCUUUUGCUUCCACCCACACCCAUGCCGUCCACUCUCGCUGCGCUGCUGGGGUGACCUCACAGCAGCUGUGAAAAGCAGAGGGACAGCAGCUGUGACGGGACACAGUUUCCACUUCAUGCUCUUGUCACAGUUUCUGGAAAGUUACUGGUGAAGUUUUUAUCGGGUUAAAAAAAUAUUACUGGUCCAGGGGCUGAGAGUCAGCUUGACAGUUAAAAGUGUUUAUCGCUCUUGUUCAGGACCACAACAUGCAGCCUGUCACUCCAGCUCCAGAGGAUUCUUCUGCUCUCUGCAGGCACCCCUACAUACAUGAGCGCGCGCGCCUGUGUGUGUGUGUGUGUGUGUGUGUGUGUGUGUGUGUGUGUGUACAUAAAAACAAAAUAUUUUUAAAUUUGCCCUAUUUUGCUAAGAGUAUCAGUUUUUACUAAAUCAUUCACUACACCAGUUGUGAGUUGAUAGCAUUUCAUUUUCCUUCCUAUUAAAUGUGCUGAAUCAUAUCAGAAAAGCACUCUCAAACACUUUUACACCAAGUUAUUUCCAUGAAGGAGACAAAAGAAUUCUUUGAUAGUGAAAAUAUAUUUAUUUACUUUUUUAAUACAAUAGCUGCCAGCAAUCUACUGGUGUUGAUGCUCCAGAGAGAAGAAAGAAAAUGCAAGCAUUCUGUAAUGGGCUUUCAUUCCUACCCAAGGAAUUCUAUAAACAAAUACUCCAAUCCAGUUUGGUCAGCAUUAUGGCUUGGGUGCUGAAUUUUUAUGGCUUGGGACUUAAAUUUUUUCCACACACUUUGAUAAUUGUAAAGAUGAGCCUUUAGAAGUCUGCUGUGAGUUUCACUAAUAAACGUGCUCUCUCUGACCAAAUGUUGAUUAUUGCCACCCGAAGAAACUGGUGAGUCCAUUACAACUUGAUGGGAUGUAGACCAAAAUCUUCACUAAAAAAUAAUUUCUACUUCCCCUCAUUUUUACUUUGUAGAUAUUUCCUAAAUGAGUUUAAAUAUGAAGAAACAAACCCUAUCUACAUGCAACUCUGGCAAGAUUCCAGAAUAACUCAGCAGAAGUAUAAAUGCCUACAUUCUAGAGCUGAUCCACUUAGUGUACAAAUCACUCAGAAUCUCUUCAUGGUAUGCAAAUUGCUCAAGAGUUUAGAGCUAUGAAAGCUAAUGCUACUGAGAAAAUCUUAUUUGCAUUGCAUUGAAAAUCUGUAUCUACAGAACAAAGGAAGUUACAGAAAUUAGAAUAGUGAGGCAUGCCCACUGUUCAAUAGUUUCUCAGUAUCCACUGAAAACUAGGGAGACUCCACUCAGAAUCCCGCCUCCAAGGGGAGGGCUGGUAAGGAAAGGAGGUGAAACACAGAGGGAUGAGUCACUGGUGUGGACGUGAGCCUAGGGGACUCCUGUACUUGAGCCCACACACUGCAUCAGCUGCAUGGAAACUUCCACAUUCGCACGUCUCAGAUCUCCAGGUUUUAAGCCACGAGCUUUGCCCAGGAGUGGUGGUGCUCACUGCAGGCCUCCUUCUCACAGUUUCCGUCCAUUGCCAAUCUCAAACCUGUCUGACUUUCUUCAUAGAAACUAAACUCGAUCUCUACAGAGAAAAACAAUUCUGCCUUUGUCAAAACCAAGGCAGGCUUCCCUUCCUUGGACAUCCAGAGACAGCAAGAGCAACCAUGAGGCAAAUAAGGAGCCACAGAGAAUAACCACCAAGGGUGGCAUCUCCGCCAGUUUCAGCCUGUCCACUUCACUGUCCUGCACAACCUCUGGUGUGAGAAGCCCUCACUCCAUCCACUUGCGGAAAGAACAGGCAUUCACUCUCUGGAAUCUUCCUCAUGAAAGCUGCAAUCCUACCCAAGGACAAGCUGUCACUAUGUAAAGUUGGGACAUUUCUGCCCAUGGAGACACUGCAGGGUCACUUCUCAGAGGAGGAAAGAUAGUGCCUCCCCUGGAACCAGACACAUCCCAGUGUUUGCACAGUGAUGGGUGCUCACACCCUGAUCCGAAAUAAGGGGAAAGCUGUGGCCGAGGCAUCUCCCUGAGCCACAGGGACGCAUUGUAAAGCUCCCCUUGUCCCCAUGUGAAGUCAAUUACUGGUCAGUUUUAAAAGGGGGCUGCUGAUGAGUCAGGCCGCUUCCACAAAGCCGGCGUUUAUUUACUGUCUGCACACCAAAGGGAAAGCAGGCCACCUGGAAGCGGCGCACUGUGGGGCGGAAAUUUCGCCUGUGGGAAACAGCACUUCUUGAACAAGUUACAUUA